UACGUAGGUGGCGAGCGUUGUCCGGAUUUACUGGGCGCAAAGGGCGUGCAGGCGGUUUGUUAAGUGCAGGGUGAAAGCCCCCGGCUCAACUGGGAGGGUCACGCGAUACUGAUCGACUCGAAGGCAGGAGAGGGUAGUGGAAUUCCCGGUGUAGUGGUGAAAUGCGUGAGAUAUCGGGAGGAACACCAGUGGCGAAGGCGACUACCUGCCUGUCUUGACGCUGAGG
rnacentral:rRNA from 1 species